rnacentral:rRNA from 1 species
UACGGAGGGUGCGAGCGUUGUUCGGAUUUAUUGGGCGUAAAGCGCGUGUAGGCGGUUUUAUAAGUCUGAUGUGAAAGCCCCGGGCUCAACCUGGGAAGUGCAUUGGAUACUGUAAGACUUGAAUACGGGAGAGGGCAGUGGAAUUCCUAGUGUAGGAGUGAAAUCCGUAGAUAUUAGGAGGAACACCGGUGGCGAAGGCGGCUGCCUGGACCGAUAUUGACGCUGAGACGCGAAAGCGUGGGUAGCAAACAGGAUUAGAAACCCUAGUAGU